rfam:Schistosoma curassoni strain Dakar, Senegal genome assembly, scaffold: SCTD_scaffold0013722
AUCUAACUGACGCGUCCCAAAUAGGACGAAACACGCGUCAAACUGUGU